AUUGAACGCUGGCGGCAUGCCUUACACAUGCAAGUCGAACGGCAGCGCGGGGCAACCUGGCGGCGAGUGGCGAACGGGUGAGUAAUAUAUCGGAACAUACCCUAGAGUGGGGGGAUAACGUAGCGAAAGUUACGCUAAUACCGCAUACGCACUAAGGUGGAAAGUGGGGGAUCUUCGGACCUCAUGCUCAUGGAGUGGCCGAUAUCUGAUUAGCUAGUUGGUGAGGUAAAGGCUCACCAAGGCGACGAUCAGUAGCUGGUUUGAGAGAACGACCAGCCACACUGGAACUGAGACACGGUCCAGACUCCUACGGAGGCAGCAGUGGGGAAUUUUGGACAAUGGGGGCAACCCUGAUCAGCAAUGCCGCGU
rnacentral:rRNA from 1 species